CCACCAACACCACCAUUGCUUGAUGAGACAAUUCGUACAACCGGAAACGGGGUGCGGAAGGCACUGCUUCUGCAGAU
ensembl:ncRNA Y46E12BL.5 ncRNA